rnacentral:tRNA from 1 species
GGGCACGUAGCUCAGUCCGGAUAGAGCGUCGGACUUCUAUCCGUGUCGCGCCAGCGCCACGGGAAGCCAUCCGACGGUCGCGGGUUCGAAUCCCGCCGUGCCCG